rnacentral:lncRNA from 1 species
GGAGGGCAUCGUCAUGGUUAAUUUUAUGUAUCUACUGGCUGGGUCAUGGAACCCAAGUUUCCUAGAUAUUUGGUCAAAUAUCAUCCUCGAUGUUUCUGUGAAAGUAUCUUUCAGAUGAGGUUAACGUUUAGAUCAGUAGACCUUGAGAAAAGCACGCUGCCCUCCAUAAUGGGGGUAGGCUUCAUCCAGUCAGCUGAAGGCCUUAAGAGAAAAGAGACUGAUCUCUCUCCAAAAGAGGCAAAGACCGCCUCUGGACUCCAGCUGCAGCAUCAACUGUUCCCUGGGUUUCCAAGCCUAUGGACCUAUCCUGCGGGGUUUGGACUUGCCAUUCCUUAAACCCUUAGAUCAGCGGAAUACUUAAAUCAGAAAUGAACAGCAUCCAGCCAUGUGGAAACAUGACAAGCUGGCUUGGAGCAAGGCCUUCAAGUUCCAAAGGCAGCACAGGCUGUGUGAAUACAAGAACCAGCAGAGAGGAGAGUGACAGGCGAGGCCGAAAGGAACACCUGGCAUUCUGACUCCUGAAGAAGCACAUGUGUCAGCACCUCCCCACGCGCAGUUACGGAGACCAUCUUCUCCCUCACAAGCAUUUUUUACCCUCAGGAAAUUCGAGAAAACGUCGCAAAUCAAAAUCCGUGAUCACAAGUAGAAAAACAACUUACCGUAAAAAAUAAGUUCACGCUCCUUAAGGAUCGGUCUACUGAAUCUCAUGUGCAAAGAGAAACCUAAAUUAUGGAGAAAAC